rnacentral:rRNA from 1 species
GAUGAACGCUGGCGGCGUGCUUAAUACAUGCAAGUCGAGCGAAUGGAUUAAGAGCUUGCUCUUAUGAAGUUAGCGGCGGACGGGUGAGUAACACGUGGGUAACCUGCCCAUAAGACUGGGAUAACUCCGGGAAACCGGGGCUAAUACCGGAUAACAUUUUGAACCGCAUGGUUCGAAAUUGAAAGGCGGCUUCGGCUGUCACUUAUGGAUGGACCCGCGUCGCAUUAGCUAGUUGGUGAGGUAACGGCUCACCAAGGCAACGAUGCGUAGCCGACCUGAGAGGGUGAUCGGCCAGACUGGGACUGAGAAACGGCCCAGACUCCUACGGGAGGCAGCAGUAGGGAAUCUUCCGCAAUGGACGAAAGUCUGACGGAGCAACGCCGCGUGAGUGAUGAAGGCUUUCGGGUCGUAAAACUCUGUUGUUAGGGAAGAACGAGUGCUAGUUGAAUAAGCUGGCACCUUGACGGUACCUAACCAGAAAGCCACGGCUAACUACGUGCCAGCAGCCGCCGUAA